GCUGGGCAUGGUGGUGCGUGCCUGUAAUCCCAGCACUUGGGAGGCUGAGGCAGGAGAAUCAUUUGAACCCAGAAGAUGGAGGUUGCAGUGAGUGAGAUUGCGCCACUGCACUCCAGCCUGGGUGACAGAGUGAGACUCUGUCUCAA
rnacentral:sRNA from 1 species